UCUUCCUCCUCCGGCCACCGAUCCUCACCAAAAUUCUUCCAUUGGUUUCGUAUGGUCCUUGCGCACCUGUCUGUGGCAACCUUGCACGGCGGCACGGCCCCUAGCGGCGGCGGCGGCCCGGUUCCGAUUUAAGCUCGAUUUUGGUCAACGCCGGUUUUCUCCUAGCUCCGGCCACCAAAACUUCCGAUCCUUGGCUCCAUGAACUCCCCUCAACCUGAUGAUCAUCAUACUAGGAGGAUUGCACCUAGAGUGACCGGUUUCACGUUCGUCGGAGCUCGUGGGUUCCCCUUGAUGUUAUUAACAACUCUCUAGAAGGAAUCGAGGCCUGAAAUUGAAGUUUUGACGUCGAAAUCGAGCCUUGCCGGAUUCUGCAAAAUUCUGGAAUUUUUCCGACCACCGAAGCUUUCGAUCGGUAUAUCUCGAGCUACAGACCAUAUUUUUCUGUGAUUCUUGAACCAGUGAGUUCUUCUUUAGUUUCUUAACAACUCUUAAGAAGGAAUCGAAGCCUUAAAUUGACGUUUUUACGUCGAAUUGGAGCUCGCCGUUUUCUGCAGUUUCUCGCCGGUUUCUGGAAAAUUCCGGCCACCUUCAUACUGUUCAAGGUGAUUGACGGUCUCCCUUGGGUGAAAGAUUUCGGUGUGUAUUGUGUUGAAUUGAAGACGCAGCGGGAAUAUCGAGGUGAGUAAACCUCACGUGGUUCAUAUUACGAACCCAAUACAAUUAAUUGCUUUAUUUUGUUGCAAUCAUAUGAACUAUUGUUGGUGUUACUAGACAUUCCUGUGUGAAUGUCUGUAUAUAUAUUAUUACGUGAAAUAAUAUGUAUUGUUGGAGUUGUGUUGAGUUAUUGUUGAGAAACAAUAUAUUGUGAGAGGUAUUGAGUUUAUUGUUGAGAAACAAUAUAUUGUGAGAGGUAUUGAGUUUAUUGUUGAGAAACAAUAUAUUGUGAGAGGUGUUGAGUUUUAUUGUUGAGGAACAAUAAAUUGUUGUGAUCUGUGGAGAUCACUAGGUCACGAGGUGACCAUGGCAUCUAUUAGUGAAUCACGCUCUCGUACCGGGCUGGUGGUUAUUAAUAGUAUUAAAUCAUAAUCACGUCUGUGGCCGGACGAGUGGUUACGUUCAGUUAGAGCUCUAGUCUGUCUGUCAAAUGUGGAGUGACCUUAUGAGUGAAUUUGAGAGUAACUCAUAAGUGUCUAUAUAUAUGUGGUAACCUUAUGAGGGAAAUUGAGAGUAACUCAUAAGGGUCUAUAUAUAUAUAUGAGUCUGUCUGUUAAAUGUUGGGAAAUCUUAUGAGCUAAAUUGAGAGUAACUCAUAAGUGUCUAUAUAUAUAUAUGGGUCUGUCUGUUAAAUGUUGGGAAAUCUUAUGAGCUAAAUUGAGAGUAACUCAUAAGUGUCUAUAUAUAUAUAUAUGAGAGUGAGAAAGUAACGUGGGUUUGUGGUGGUCUUGUAAUUUAAUAAAUCAACAGUUCUUUCUUGUUUACUCAUACUAGCUGUCAAAAGCUUACCGGGUUUUGUGUUGUUGCAACUCCCGGUACACUAUUCAAAUUGUGUAGCGGGUAAUCCUACAGGACAGGAGAAUCAGGAUGGAGAUCGAGCUGCGUAGAGUAGCUGCAAUUGUGUCGAUCUAAAUUACUUUGUGAGGUGUAUUAUGCUCAUUUAGAGCUUUACAAUAUUGCUUGUGAGAGUGAAUUGUAAUAAUGAACUCGAGGUUUCGAGAUUUGGAGUUUGUGUACCGUGUGGUGAGGUUAUAUUGAGAAAAAAAUUCAGAACG